CAGUGCAAUGUCAAAAGGGCAUC
rnacentral:miRNA from 15 species